UGGUAGUCCACGCUGUAAACGAUGUCGAUUUGGAGGUUGUGCCCUUGAGGCGUGGCUUCCGGAGCUAACGCGUUAAAUCGACCGCCUGGGGAGUACGGCCGCAAGGUUAAAACUCAAAUGAAUUGACGGGGGCCCGCACAAGCGGUGGAGCAUGUGGUUUAAUUCGAUGCAACGCGAAGAACCUUACCUACUCUUGACAUCCAGAGAACUUAGCAGAGAUGCUUUGGUGCCUUCGGGAACUCUGAGACAGGUGCUGCAUGGCUGUCGUCAGCUCGUGUUGUGAAAUGUUGGGUUAAGUCCCGCAACGAGCGCAACCCUUAUCCUUUGUUGCCAGCGGUUCGGCCGGGAACUCAAAGGAGACUGCCAGUGAUAAACUGGAGGAAGGUGGGGAUGACGUCAAGUCAUCAUGGCCCUUACGAGUAGGGCUACACACGUGCUACAAUGGCAUAUACAAAGAGAAGCGACCUCGCGAGAGCAAGCGGACCUCAUAAAGUAUGUCGUAGUCCGGAUUGGAGUCUGCAACUCGACUCCAUGAAGUCGGAAUCGCUAGUAAUCGUAGAUCAGAAUGCUACGGUGAAUACGUUCCCGGGCCUUGUACACACCGCCCGUCACACCAUGGGAGUGGGUUGCAAAAGAAGCAGGUAGCUUAACCUUCGGGAGGGCGCUUACCACUUUGUGAUUCAUGACUGGG
rnacentral:rRNA from 1 species